UACGUAAGUGGCGAGCGUUAUCCGGAAUUAUUGGGCGUAAAGCGCACGUAGGCGGCUUUUCAAGUCCCAUGUGAAAGCCCACGGCUUAACCGUGGAAGUGCAUGGGAAACUGGAAAGCUUGAGUACUUAAGAGGAUCGCGGAAUUCCCGGUGUAGAGGUGAAAUUCGUAGAUAUCGGGAGGAACACCAGUGGCGAAGGCGGCGAUCUGGGAAGAUACUGACGCUGAGGUGCGAAAGCGUGGGGAGCAAACAGG
rnacentral:rRNA from 1 species